rnacentral:rRNA from 1 species
GUAGGUGGCAAGCGUUGUCCGGAAUUAUUGGGCGUAAAGCGCGCGCAGGCGGUUCUUUAAGUCUGAUGUGAAAGCCCACGGCUCAACCGUGGAGGGUCAUUGGAAACUGGAGAACUUGAGUGCAGAAGAGGAAAGCGGAAUUCCACGUGUAGCGGUGAAAUGCGUAGAGAUGUGGAGGAACACCAGUGGCGAAGGCGGCUUUCUGGUCUGUAACUGACGCUGAGGCGCGAAAGCGUGGGGGAGCAAACAGGAUUAGAUACCCUGGUAGUCCACGCCGUAAACUAUGAGUGCUAAGUGUUAGGGGGUUUCCGCCCCUUAGUGCUGCAGCUAACGCAUUAAGCACUCCGCCUGGGAGUACGGCCGCAAGGCUG